rnacentral:rRNA from 1 species
UACGGGGGGGGCAAGCGUUGUUCGGAAUUACUGGGCGUAAAGGGCUCGUAGGCGGCCAACUAAGUCAGACGUGAAAUCCCUCGGCUUAACCGGGGAACUGCGUCUGAUACUGGUUGGCUUGAAUCCGGGAGAGGGAUGUGGAAUUCCAGGUGUAGCGGUGAAAUGCGUAGAUAUCUGGAGGAACACCGGUGGCGAAGGCGGCAUCCUGGACCGGUAUUGACGCUGAGGAGCGAAAGCGUGGGGAGCGAACAGG